GCGUAUUUAGUAUAGAUUGGGUCUGAAAAGAUGUAUAACCCAGGCUGCGGACGCUCAACUUUGCCAUGGUCUAGUCGAAUCGACCAUUCAUCAAGCUUAUCACAUUGGAGUGACACAUUGCAAUCCUUCGCGUCGGUCUCUGCUUCAGGUCGCUCCCUCCACGCAUCUCCACGUUUCCAUCUUUUUGCGGCCCAAAGAAGGAAACAACGUUUCCAGCUUCAAGAGUUCGAGUACCAGCUCCCUUCCAUGUCCGCAAGCAUCCUCCGUGUCAUAGACCCAGGCGAUCGCGAUCUUCCAGCAUCCGCGAUCAGCUCACGUCCGCGCCCCAUCCCGUGAAGCUUCCCAGCGUCCGCGUCCAGCUCUCAUGCAUUGGAGCCUUCCGCGUCUACUUCCGAGUCCACGUCUCGAUCUUCCUCUUCAGCUCCCACGCGUUCCAACUGAUCCCAGAGCUUCCCAGCCGUCCAUGAUGGUUUCGUGCCUCUUCCAAGUUCCAGCCACAUCAGCAAUCCGCCCGCGUGGAAGAGAUCCUGAUCCCUCUCAAAUUAGGCCACAUAAUCAGCAAUCUCCCGAGUUCCCAGCAUCCGCGCUCUAUCCUCCACGAUCCGGCCUCAUCCUCUUCUUCCGUGAUCAACUCCUUCCCGCGAUGCAUGCCAAAUAAUCCGCAGCCAGCACCUCCCGCAUUCUGUCUUCCUUCAUCAGCAUCCCGCGUUCACAGCAACGGAUUGGCAGCCCAUCUUUCCGCGCACCUCCACUUGUCCAUCCGAGUCCGAGAUCCAGCAUCCAGCCAUCCAUCUCCAGCCUCACGUCCGAGCUUUCCAUAUCUUGCAGCUAGCUGGGAUGUGCUUCAUUCCAACGUUCCUCCUCCCAACAAAAUCCCAGCCGAAUCACAGCAAACUUGAUUUAGAAUUUCGUUUGAUUUGUUAGGAGGAAAAUUCUGAAUUUAGAUUGGCUUUCCACGAUUAAACAGAGGGGGGGAGAGUUGAGUAUAAAGGGGCAUAUAUCUCUCGGUUGGGGCUUCUAGCUCCCAUGGGAAAAAACAGAGCCUGGGCCAUUAAAAUGAAAAAAAAGAAACAGAGCAUUCUCUGUUUUCCGAAAAGAAAAGAAAAAGAGAGAGGGAUGCUAAUGUUUUUAAUGGGGGGCUGAUUUCUUAGGUGAAGGGUGAUGGAGGAACCUUUGAUGUAUUGCUUUCUUUCAAGUAAAUUCUGAAUGAUUGAUCUCUUUGAUUUACAUCUAUUAAUAUGUUCUUGAUUCUUCCAUACUUAUUUAUUAGAUAGAUCUUUUAUGGUUUACAUUUAUUGAUGCAUAGAUUGUUUCGAUGUUUGAUUUGUUGUAGAUAUAACCGGCACGAUAAAUAAUUAGAUGUUGACUUCA
rnacentral:lncRNA from 1 species